ACAGGUUGUUGCUGGAGAAGUCCAGCGAGUUUGGAAGCAGCUUGCACAGCGACUCCGGGAUCUCGCCGGACAGCGCGUUGUCCGACAGGUUGAGCACGUUCAGCGUCCUGAGCCCCGCGAGCGUCUCCGGGAUGGACCCGUUCAGCAGGUUCCCCUGCAGGGACAGCUGGUUGAGCCUCGACAGCAGGCCCACGGACUCCGGGAUGGGCCCGGCGAUGAGGUUGUUGCUCAGGUCGACCUUCACCAGCCCCCACGCGCCGGCGAUCUCCGGCGGCAGCUCGCCGGACAUCCGGUUGUUGGACGCGAACAGCGACGUCAGGUUCGCGGCGCCCGCUACCGUGGCCGCCACGGCGCCGGUGAAGUGGUUGUAGCUGAGGUCGAGGAUGGAGGCGUGCGGGAGGCCGAAGAUGCCCGGCGGCACGUCGCCCUCCAGGUGGUUGUUGCUCACCCGGAACCGGAGCAGCGGCGUGCACUCGGCGUACGCCGGCGGGAUGGGCCCGGUCAGCAGGUUGCUGAGCACCAGGAUGUACUGGAGGUGGCCGUUGGCGCAGGCGUACGGCGGCAGCGGCCCCGUCAGCUGGUUCUCCGACACCUCGAUGACGUUGAGGUCCGAGUAGCGGCCGAGGUCGGCGGGGAUCCCGCCGGUGAGCUGGUUGCGGUACAGGGAGAGGAUGCGCAGCUGCGUGGAGUUGCCGAGCACGGCCGGGAUGGGGCCCGUGAGGCGGUUGGUGUAGAGCUGGAGCACGCGCAAGCCGCGCAGCGCGCACAGCGACUCCGGGAUGGGCCCCGUGAGGCGGUUCUCGGACAGGUCGAUGUCAGUGAGCUGCGUGAGAUUGGCGAGCUCGGCGGGGAUGCCGCCCUCCAGCUCGUUGUAGUAGAGCUCCAGGAACCGCAGGUUCGUGAGGCGCGCCAGCGACUCCGGGAUGCGGCCGGUGAGGAAGUUGCCGCUGAGCUCCAGGUCGGUGAGCGACGUCAUGUUGCCGAACCACGCGGGGACGCCGCCGCGCAUGGAGGUGGUGGAGAGGAUGAGCACGCGGACGCGCCGCAGCGGCAGGAACAGCGACUCGGCCGGCCGCCACACGUCGAACCCGGGGUUCUCGUUGAGGUUCACCACCUC
rnacentral:misc_RNA from 1 species